UAGGGAAUCUUCCGCAAUGGGCGAAAGCCUGACGGAGCAACGCCGCGUGAGUGAUGAAGGUCUUCGGAUCGUAAAACUCUGUUAUUAGGGAAGAACAAAUGUGUAAGUAACUAUGCACGUCUUGACGGUACCUAAUCAGAAAGCCACGGCUAACUACGUGCCAGCAGCCGCGGUAAUACGUAGGUGGCAAGCGUUAUCCGGAAUUAUUGGGCGUAAAGCGAGCGUAGGCGGUUAUUUAAGUCUGAUGUGAAAGCCCACGGCUCAACCGUGGAGGGUCAUUAGAAACUGGAAAACUUGAGUGCAGAAGAGUAAAGUGGAAUUACAUGUGUAGCGGUGAAAUGCGCAGGGAUAUGGAGGAAAGCCAGUGGCGAAGGCGACUUUCUGGUCUGUAACUGACGCUGAUGUGCGAACGCGUGGGGAUCAAACAGG
rnacentral:rRNA from 1 species